rnacentral:rRNA from 1 species
ACACACGGUCAUAUCACGUUGAGAGCACCGGUUCUCGCCCGAUCAACGAAGUUAAGCAACGUCGAGCCUAGUGAGUACUUAGAAGGGUGACCGCUUGGGAAACCUAGGUGUUGCAAGCG